rnacentral:rRNA from 1 species
UACAGAGGUCCCAAGCGUUGUUCGGAUUCACUGGGCGUAAAGGGUGCGUAGGUGGCCAGGUAAGUUCGGUGUGAAAGCUCGGAGCUUAACUCCGAAAUGGCAUUGAAUACUAUCUGGCUAGAGGGUCGGAGGGGAGACUGGAAUUCUCGGUGUAGCAGUGAAAUGCGUAGAUAUCGGGAGGAACACCAGUGGCGAAGGCGACUUCCUGGCCUGUUCUUGACGCUGAGGCGCGAAAGCUAGGGUAGCAAACGGG